CCCAAAAUUUGAUUCUAAGCAUCUUCGAAUAAAUUAUUAUGGCGCCCAAGCAGGAAAACAAAAAAAAAGAAAACCAGACUGACAAUAAGAAGAAGGGAAAAGGCGGCAAAGAUAAAAAAAUUAUUAAGAAAAGAUGUGGACCACCGAUGGCCACAGGAACCGUAAUGGCACAGAGAGUUCUACCAUCAAUGGUAUGUUGUCCACCCUCAGGAUGCUCAACGAGGGGGUGUCUCCCAAGUCCAGGUUGCGGAGGCUGUUGAAUUUACGAAAAUGAAUAUAUUUCACAUUUUUGAGCUACACCUGCAGGCAGCCAAAUAAAACUAUAAAUAAACCAAUUCAAAGAUUUCAAUUA